CCCAGGCCGGAGCAGUCUGUUCCACACGGAGCUCCACCUCCCCACCGCCGAGCACUCUCUUGUGGCCCUCCUGCUCACCUUGCGACCCCCAAAAUGGGCUCCUGAUGUGCUGCUCGACCUCCCCCGGCGACCAUCUGAUAAGGGACCUCGUGCAGCAAUUAAGACAAGUUCAGGGGGUUUUCUGCGAAGUGUAGACCCAUAGGAACAGUGCUGUUCGAGGACCUGUAUGUAAAGAUCCGACUGCUUUUGCCGACGAUGUCUACAAGCUGAUCGUGGAUCGAGCCGUGAAAAUUCCUACAGAUCCGGAACCAGAAGAAGGUUGUUCUGAAGACCUCAAGAACUUCAUCAGGGAAUUCUCGGAAGGCCCGAACCAAAGUUUCGGACGUUAUUAACUUGACUAACCCCAGCCUCACCA